AUUGACUAUGUUCCUUUUGCCUACUCAAUAGGACAAAUAAAAAACAUUAUGUAUACAGAUUAUAGUACAAGAUUCAUAGAUUAACUAAUAAUUCUUAUUUUUUUAAUUUAAAUUAUUUACAUAACCUCAAAGAAUAUGUACUACUAAUUGAGACUUGCAGAAUUAAGUACAAAUCAUAACAUUAUUUUCGAUGCAGUUCCUGAAUUAACUGUGGCUUACAAUAUUUCGUUAAAAACGAUGAUUCGUAAAAAAGUGUUUCAUUUAGCUCAAUUAAGUGCUAUCGGCUUGACUGGAUAUUAUAUAGGACAAUGCAAUGGUAAAAAUACUACUCAAGAUUGUAUAGAGGUCGAUGGUAAACUCCUGACGAGCUUACCAGCAUUGCCUGUGUUCGGAACUGUGUCUGCCGCCGUGCCAUACACUGAAAGUGGUGGUUCGAAGGACACAACUAGGGUAUCUCAAAUAAUGAAAUAUGGCUUCCCCGGCCUCGACAAUAUUCGUUCAUAUGAUGAUUAUGUGUUGUCUUACGACCGUCGCACCAGGGUACCACACUGGGUUUUUGAACAUCUAACAAAAGCACACAUUGCCAAAAAUGAUCAGGUUGAUAGGAGUAAAUGUGACUUUAUGCCUGAUGAAAGUAUACAUCCAUUCUUUAGAUCUUUAAAUAGUGACUACAAAGGAUCUGGUUUUGAUAGAGGUCAUAUGGCUGCGGCCGGAAACCACAGGCUCGCACAGAAACAUGUCGAACAAACCUUUUACCUAACUAAUAUGGCUCCGCAGGUUGGGGAAGGAUUCAACAGACAUGCUUGGAAUAGACUUGAGAAACAUGUUCGUAAAUUAACCAAAUUGUAUGAUCACGUAUAUUGUUGCACAGGACCAUUGUAUCUUCCGAGGAAAGAAUCCGACGGUAAAUCGUAUGUUCGUUAUCAAGUUAUAGGAGCAAACACAGUGGCGGUACCAACUCAUUUCUACAAGGUAGUCGUGGGCGAGGCUCCAGAUGGUACACUGGAUAUGGAAGCCUAUGUCAUGCCCAACCAGAAGAUACCUGAUGAGACACCAGUGUCUUCUUUUAUGGUGCCUCCAGAAACUAUAGAAAGGGCGGCUGGAUUGCUAUUCUUCGACAAAAUACAUAGAAGUAAAUUAAGCAGAAUAAAUGGGAAGAAAGUAUGAUUAUUAGUGAAUCUGUGAACACCACUGUGUCUAAUUACCAAAAGAUUGAGAUUUCUGUUAAUGCAAUAAAAAAGAAUCCGUGUGUUUACCGUAGAGUGGGGCUAUUUUGGACUUUAGUAGUUCCUUAGGACAUUGAAUAAUAAUUUUUUUUAAUUUCAAUAGUUUUUUACAUUGUUAUGGGAAAAAAGUGUCUGGCAACACUACAUUUGACAUUUAUUAGGUAUUAUUUAUAAUUAUUUUACAACGAAUGCGUGAGCUUAAAUCACGAUAAAACAGUUAGAGAUCAUUAGAAUUAUCGAAUACACAAAAUGAGUAUUGUAUAUUGACAAAGAGUUUUUUUUAUGAAAAUACAGUUUAUCUUUGCCUUUGGUUUCUGUAUUUCCAGUUUUUUAAUUGCUUUUUUCUCAGGUAAACUUUAAAUAGACAAUAUGGUUCGUCAGUAUAAAAUAUUUCAUUGCGAUAUUAAAUUUUGUGAGGCAUAGGAAAAAUGCAUAUUCCGUAUUAUGGUUUACAAGCAAAGAACAUUUUCGAAAAUACUAUUGCUGACGUAAAAGCAAAGAUACGAACGAUACGUGAAGCAUCGCGUAAGUAUAGAAUACUUAAAAGCACAGCAACCCGAGCCUAAUAAAAUUAAUAAACCUACUCAAUAACUACCCGGACAUCCUACGUAAUUCAGUGAACGAGAAGUAUUUAUUUUCGGAAACUACGACUCGGGUUUGUCGCAAUGGGACUUUCUUCAGGACACCUUCGAUAUGAAGAUUUUUUUUUAUUGUUCGAUGGGUGGACGAGCCCACAGCCCGCCUGGUGUUAAGUGGUUACUGGAGCCCAUAUACAUCUACAACAUAAAUGCGUCCCCCACCUCGAGAUAUAAGUUCUAAGGUCUCAGUAUAGUUACAACGGCUGCCCCACCCUUCAAACCGAAAUUACUGCUUUACGGCAGAAAUAGGCGGGGCGGGUAUUUGCACAUAAAUUCGAUAUACCUUGUCAGAAAUCUACGAUUUUUUUUCCGUGUUCGUUAGUCAUCGAGUAUGUAAUGGUUGUUAUUAAUAUUGUUUUAAUGUGCUAUUAAAGUGUAAGACAAAGAUAGAGAGCUAUAAAAAUUACCUAAUAGUUAUUCCAUUUUUUGAUGUUCCAAAAUAUGUAUUAAUAAUAAAAAGAGAGUCGCAAAUUUUAAUACACAAUGAAUUAGUAUUUAGUUACAUAGGCUCAUGCAACUGCGUCACGCGCUACAAAUGCCCAGUGUGCUUAGUGCGAGUUUUUUAUUAUAACGUUCUCGAUAGCGUAAAAGUUAACCCAAUUUUGUAUGCAGUUGGCACAGCGCCCCUAGCGGCGAACGUAGGCAAACUAUCUUAUUCCAUACAAAUAUGAGUUAACUUUUACGCUAUCGAGAACGUUAACCCGAUUGACUUCCACGGUGAAGGAAUAACAUUAAAAAAAUUAAACCCGCAAAAUUAUAACUUACGUAAUUACUGGUGGUAGGACCUCUUGUGAGUCCGCGCGGGUACCACUGCCCUGCCUAUUUCUGCCGUGAAGCAGUAAUCUGUUUCGGUCUGAAGGGUAGGGCAGCCGUUGUAACUAUACUGAGAUCUUAGAACUUAUAUCUCAAGGUGGGUGUCGCAUUUACAGUGCAGCAGUGGAUCCCAUUCCAUACAAAUAUGAGCUAACUUUUACGUUAUCGAGAACGUUAAAAAACUCGCACUAAGCACACUGAUACAUUUUCCAAAUUGCACCAAAAGGAGUGUUAACUUGAAAAAUAGUUUAUCCUAUACCUACACGUGUUAUUUUCUAAUCGUGUAACUUCAUAAAAAGCUAAAAUCCUAAAUAAAAUCUUCAUGUGAAGAUUUGUUUUAUUUUUUAAAAAAAAUAUUCGGUAAAGUUCAAGAUUCAAGUAUAGAUUUAAUUUUCAAAAUUUUAAUCAAGAAAUAUUUAUAAUAGUAUUGUUUACCUUCAAGUACAUGCUUGGUUGUAAUAAAACCAUAAAAGGUAAUUCAGGUAAUUUCAGAUUAUUCCCUUUAGCCCAGAGCCAUUGUAACCAUAUUAGCACACGUUACAUUCUUUACAACUAAAAUUUUCUUUUCAAAAAGACCCAUAAUUUUUCAUUGUAAUUCUACUAACUACGUAAUGAUGUCUGUCAUAGUGUUUAAACAAAUUGUAUAAUUACGUGUUCCUUCUAGUGUGUUCUAUAAAACUAUUUUUUGUGUAUUAAUACUUAGUGGUGUUCUUAAUAUGUGCAAUAUUAUAUUUAAGACAUAGAAUGAAAAAAAAUUAUUGUUUUGUAAAUAAUAAAAAUAUAUCUAAAUUUUACAAUUUA